rnacentral:rRNA from 1 species
UACAGAGGUCUCAAGCGUUGUUCGGAUUCAUUGGGCGUAAAGGGCGCGUAGGCGGCCACCGCAAGUCGACUGUGAAAUCUCCGGGCUUAACCCGGAAAGGUCAGCCGAUACUGCGCGGCUAGAGUGCUGGAGGGGAGACUGGAAUUUACGGUGUAGCAGUGAAAUGCGUAGAUAUCGUAAGGAAGACCAGUGGCGAAGGCGAGUCUCUGGACAGCAACUGACGCUGAGGCACGAAGGCCAGGGGAGCAAACGGG